rnacentral:rRNA from 1 species
CCUACGGGAGUCAGCAGUGAGGGAUAUUGGUCAAUGGCCGGAAGGCUGAACCAGCCAAGCCGCGUGAAGGACGAAGGUGCCAAGCAUUGUAAACUUCUUUUGUCAAGGGACAAAAUCAGGCUCGAGAGCCUGACCGAGGGUACUUGAAGAAAAAGCAUCGGCUAACGCCGUGCCAGCAGCCGCGGUAAUACGGAGGAUGCGAGAGUUAUCCGGAUUUAUUGGGUUUAACGGGUGCGUAGGCGGGCUGUUAAGUAAGCGGUAAAAUCCUGGGGCUCAACCCCGGCGAGCCGUUGAAACUGGCUGUCUUGAGAUGUCGAGAGGUAUGCGGAAUGCGCAGUGGAGCGGUGAAAUGCUUAGAUAUUGCGCAGAACUCCGAUUGCGAAGGCAGCAUACCGGCGGCGAUCUGACGCUGAGGCACGAAAGCGUGGGUAUCGAACAGGAUUAGAUACCCUUGUAGUC